rnacentral:rRNA from 1 species
UACGGAGGAUCCAAGCGUUAUCCGGAAUUACUGGGCGUAAAGAGUUGCGUAGGUGGCAUUGUAAGUCAGUAGUGAAAGCCUGGGGCUCAACCCCUUACCCAUUAUUGAAACUACAAAGCUAGAGGACGAGAGAGGUUAUUGGAAUUCCUAGUGUAGGAGUGAAAUCCGUAGAUAUUAGGAGGAACACCGAUGGCGUAGGCAGAUAACUGGCUCGUUCCUGACACUAAGGCACGAAAGCGUGGGGAGCGAACGGG